UACAGGGGGUGCAAACGUUGCUCGGAAUCAUUGGGCGUAAAGCGCACGUAGGCGGUUCGUUAUGUCGGAUGUGAAAGCCCUUGGCUUAACCGAGGAAGUGCAUCCGAAACUGGCGAGCUAGAGUACGAAAGAGGAUCGCGGAAUUCCCGGUGUAGAGGUGAAAUUCGUAGAUAUCGGGAGGAAUACCUAUGGCGAAGGCAGGUUACUGGGCCAUCACUGACGCUGAGCUGCGAAAGCUAGGGGAGCAAACAGG
rnacentral:rRNA from 1 species